GACGAACGCUGGCGGCGUGCUUAACACAUGCAAGUCGAACGGAAAGGCCCUGCUUUUGUGGGGUGCUCGAGUGGCGAACGGGUGAGUAACACGUGAGUAACCUGCCCUUGACUUUGGGAUAACUUCAGGAAACUGGGGCUAAUACCGGAUAGGAGCUCCUGCUGCAUGGUGGGGGUUGGAAAGUUUCGGCGGUUGGGGAUGGACUCGCGGCUUAUCAGCUUGUUGGUGGGGUAGUGGCUUACCAAGGCUUUGACGGGUAGCCGGCCUGAGAGGGUGACCGGCCACAUUGGGACUGAGAUACGGCCCAGACUCCUACGGGAGGCAGCAGUGGGGAAUAUUGCACAAUGGGCGGAAGCCUGAUGCAGCAACGCCGCGUGCGGGAUGGCGGCCUUCGGGUUGUAAACCGCUUUCGCCUGUGACGAAGCGUGAGUGACGGUAAUGGGUAAAGAAGCACCGGCUAACUACGUGCCAGCAGCCGCGGUGAUACGUAGGGUGCGAGCGUUGUCCGGAUUUAUUGGGCGUAAAGGGCUCGUAGGUGGUUGAUCGCGUCGGAAGUGUAAUCUUGGGGCUUAACCCUGAGCGUGCUUUCGAUACGGGUUGACUUGAGGAAGGUAGGGGAGAAUGGAAUUCCUGGUGGAGCGGUGGAAUGCGCAGAUAUCAGGAGGAACACCAGUGGCGAAGGCGGUUCUCUGGGCCUUUCCUGACGCUGAGGAGCGAAAGCGUGGGGAGCGAACAGGCUUAGAUACCCUGGUAGUCCACGCUGUAAACGGUGGGUACUAGGUGUGGGGUCCAUUCCACGGGUUCCGUGCCGUAGCUAACGCUUUAAGUACCCCGCCUGGGGAGUACGGCCGCAAGGCUAAAACUCAAAGGAAUUGACGGGGCCCCGCACAAGCGGCGGAGCAUGCGGAUUAAUUCGAUGCAACGCGUAGAACCUUACCUGGGUUUGACAUGGAUCGGGAGCGCUCAGAGAUGGGUGUGCCUCUUUUGGGGUCGGUUCACAGGUGGUGCAUGGCUGUCGUCAGCUCGUGUCGUGAGAUGUUGGGUUAAGUCCCGCAACGAGCGCAACCCUUGUUCACUGUUGCCAGCACGUUAUGGUGGGGACUCAGUGGAGACCGCCGGGGUCAACUCGGAGGAAGGUGGGGAUGACGUCAAGUCAUCAUGCCCCUUAUGUCCAGGGCUUCACGCAUGCUACAAUGGCUGGUACAGAGAGUGGCGAGCCUGUGAGGGUGAGCGAAUCUCGGAAAGCCGGUCUCAGUUCGGAUUGGGGUCUGCAACUCGACCUCAUGAAGUCGGAGUCGCUAGUAAUCGCAGAUCAGCAACGCUGCGGUGAAUACGUUCCCGGG
rnacentral:rRNA from 1 species